rnacentral:rRNA from 1 species
GACAGAGGGUGCAAACGUUGUUCGGAAUUACUGGGCGUAAAGCGAGUGUAGGCGGUUUGGUAAGUCGGAUGUGAAAGCCCUGGGCUCAACCCAGGAAGUGCACUCGAAACUGCCAAGCUAGAGUAUCGGAGAGGUUGGUGGAAUUCUCGGUGUAGAGGUGAAAUUCGUAGAUAUCGAGAGGAACACCGGUGGCGAAGGCGGCCAACUGGACGAAUACUGACGCUGAGACUCGAAAGCGUGGGGAGCAAACAGG